rnacentral:rRNA from 1 species
GAUGAACGCUGGCGGCGUGCCUAAUACAUGCAAGUCGAGCGAACAGACGCGGAGCUUGCUCCUCUGACGUUAGCGGCGGACGGGUGAGUAACACGUGGUUAACCUACCUAUAAGACUGGGAUAACUUCGGGAAACCGGAGCUAAUACCGGAUCAUAUCUUCAACCGCAUGGUUCAAUAGUGACAGACGGUUUUGCUGUACCUUCUAGAUGGAUCCGCGCCGCAUUAGCUAGUUGGUACGGUAACGGCUUACCAAGGCCACGAUGCGUAGCCGACCUGAGAGGGUGAUCGGCCACACAGGAACUGAGACACGAUCCAGACACCUACGGGAGGCAGCAGUAGGGAAGCUUCCGCAAUGGGGGAAAGCCUGACGGAGCAACGCCGCGUGAGUGAUGAAGGGCUUCGGAUCGUAAAACUCUGUUAUGAGGGAAGAACAAAUGUGUAAGUAACUAUGCACGUCUUGACGGUACCUAAACAGAAAGCCACGGCUAACUACGUG